rnacentral:rRNA from 1 species
GAAAGCCUUUGGGUUGUAAACCUUCUUCAGCCAGGAAAGAAGCGCAAGUGACGGUACCUGCAGAAGAAGCGCCGGCUAACUACGUGCCAGCAGCCGCGGUAAUACGUAGGGUGCAAGCGUUGUCCGGAAUUAUUGGGCGUAAAGAGCUUGUAGGCGGUUUGUCGCGUCUGCUGUGAAAGCCCGGGGCUUAACCCCGGGGUGUGCAGUGGGUACGGGCAGACUAGAGUGCAGUAGGGGAGACUGGAAAUUCCUGGGUGUAGCGGUGGAAUGCGCAGAUAUCAGGAGGAACACCGAUGGCGAAGGCAGGUCUCUGGGCCAUAACUGACGCUGAGGAGCGAAAG